GAUGACAAUGAAGUUCCAAGUCCAGUUGGCGAGCCAGCUUGGAGGGUGACCUGCGUUCGCCGGUGUUCCCAUGUGCCUGCUGCCCUUGCCCUUCUCGAUGGCAAGGAUUAUGGGCUUGGGAGGCAUUGUCAGAGCCACACCUGAUUCUACCACUCACCUACACACUGGGAGAAAUCUGCUGCAGCCAGUUGAUUCGCUGAACCAGAACCAUUUGGGUUGUAGGAGAGAACCAGAGCGUCCAGAAGAAACCCAUGCAGUCAAAGGGAGAACAUGCAAACUCCACACAGAUAGCACCAGAGGCCAGGGUUGAAUCUGUGCGACCGGCUCUCCAUGCUCCAUCCCUGAGCGUCCAGAAGAAACCCAUGCAGUCAAAGGGAGAACAUGCAAACUCCACACAGAUAGCACCAGAGGCCAGGGUUGAAUCUGUGCGACCGGCUUUCCAUGCUCCAUCCCAGAGCGGCCUUAUUAUGUAUUCAUUUUUAGAACAUGAGCUUCACAGACAAGGCCUGUGUAUACUGCCUAUCCCUCACUGCCCUUGAGAAGCUGUCUGGUGAAGAAACCUUCUUCAAGCAAUACUGCUUAUGUGAGGGGAAAACCCAGAGAGCCAUUGGACAGGGGUUCCAUGAUUUAGGCCAGCAAAAUCAGUACAAAGCCAAAUAAUCCCAAUUUAGGUUGGUGCUUGAUUUGGAGGGAUUCAGCAAGUGGUGGUAUUCUCAUGUGCUUGCUGCCCUGGUUCUUCUUGACGAUAGUCGUUUGUGGGAUGCUGUCAGAGUGGCUGAGCUGAGUAACUACAGUGCAUUUUGUGGAUGGUACGCUCUACAGAUGCACUGUAGGGAUUGAAUGCUGGGAGUGCUGGAUGGUGUACUAACCACAUGGGCUGCGUUUUCUUUUUGUUAAUGAGCUUCUUGAGCAUUUUUCUUUCAGACAGUUGAAGAUUAAUCCACCACGCUCCUGACUUUGCCAUGUAGAUGAUGCUAAUCUUUGGGGUGUUUUAUACUUCUCAUCUUUUCAUCACCUAUAAAACUUCCACCUUCAUUUAUGCUUCUAUUUUUGUAGAAGCUCUUGCAAUCUUUUAUAUACACUCAGUAGACAGUUUAUUAGGUACCUCCUGCACCUCAUAAACUGGCCACUGAGUAACUGUUCUUGGUCUUCUGCUGUUGUGAUCCAUCCACAUCAGGUUUCAAAGUGCUGUGCAUUCAGAGAUGCUCUUCUGCACACCACUGUUGUAAUGCAUGGCUAUCUGAGUUACUGUCACCUUCCUUUCAGUUUGAACCAGUCUGACCAUUCUCCACUGACUUCUCCCACUAACAUGGCAUUUUUGCCCAAAGAACUGCAGUACUGGCCAUUUUUUUUUCCCUUCUCACAUCAUUCUCUGUAAACUCAAGAGACUGUUGUGCGUGAAAAUCCCAGGAGAUCAGCAGUUUCUGAGAUACUCAAACCACCCCAUCUGGCACCAACAACCAUUCCAUGGUCAAAGUCAGUUAGAUCACAUUUUGUUCUGAUACUUGGUCCGGGUAAUAUAAGAAUUCAUUUCUUUUAGAGCAAUGACAUACUCCCCCUUAGCACUACAUAUUGAUCUGUUGUCUAUACAUAUGCAUUGUUCUCUCCCUCUCAUUGCAAUGUGAAUACACCAGUUAAAAGCCAUCUCCCGUGUGAGUGCUUUUAUCUAAUACAUCGGUACUUGUGCAUAGACACAACAAAUUGGCAAUGAGUGUGAACCUGAAUGUUAGAGAAUAUCACCAACUGCACCACAGUUACGGGAUGAAACAGUGAGAGUUAAACAGCAUGAGGAGGCUGCACAGAUGUUAACAAAGACGUUAAUAACAGUGCACAGUAAUAGUGAAAGAGGUGUUGAAUUUAAAGUGAAAAUAACGUGGCGAUGGCUUCAGUCAGGGAUGUUGACAAACUUGAUAGUGCUAAUGAAGACCGCGAAUCGUAUAUUGCGAGAGUUGAACUGUAUUGUAACGUAAACAACGCAAGAGAGCAAAAGAAAGUCCCUACACAUCUUAGCUUAAUGGACCCAAGAACAUAGAGUCUCUUACAGAACCUAGUAACCCCUGCAAAGCCAAUAAGCAAGAUAUUCAAUGAAAUUGUUACAAUUUUACAAAAUCACUGGAGCCAUAAACCACUGGUAAUAGCUGAGAGAUUUUCGGCCCUUCGAGCCUGCACCGCCAUUUUGAGAUCAUGGCUGAUCAUCUACUAUCAAUAUCCAGUUUCUGUCUUGACCCCAUAUCCCUUGAUUCCCCUAUCCAUAAGAUACCUAUCUAGCUCCUUCUUGAAAGCAUCCAGAGAAUUGGCCUCUACUGCCUUCCAAGGCAGUGCAUUCCAGACCCCCACAACUCUCUGGGAGAAGAAGUUUUUCCUUAACUCUGUCCUAAAUGACCUACCCCUUAUUCUCAAACCAUGCCUUCUGGUACUGGACUCUCCCAGCAUCUGGAACAUAUUUCCUGCCUCUAUCUUGUCCAAUCCCUUAAUAAUCUUAUAUGUUGCAAUCAGAUCCCCUCUCAAUCUCCUUAAUUCCAGCGUGUACAAGCCCAGUCUCUCUAACCUCUCUGCGUAAGACAGUCUGGACAUCCCAGGAAUUAACCUCGUGAAUCUACGCUGCACUUCCUCUACAGACUGGAUGUCCUUCCUUAACCCUGGAGACCAAAACUGUACACAAUACUCCAGGUGUGGUCUCACCAGGGCCCUGUACAAAUGCAAGAGGAUUUCCUUGCUCUUGUACUCAAUUCCCUUUGUAAUAAAGGCCAAUAUUCCAUUAGCCUUCUUCACUGCCUGCUGCACUUGCUCAUUCACCUUCAGUGACUGAUGAACAAGGACUCGUAGAUUUAGAUUUUACAAAAGAAACCAAUCAAAAGAUGAAAGCCUUUCUGAAUACAUUGCAGAACUACUCAAGAUUUCCCUGUACUAUUACUUUAGAGAUGGACUGCUGUAUGCAUUAAGGGUCAGGCUUGCAUGUGGCAUGCAUAGUCAAAGUGCUUAAAAGAGGCUAUUAUCUGAAAGAGUCCUAACCUUAGAAGGGGCAUUGUCCAUUGCAAUAUUGUUGGAGACUGCAACAAAGAAUGCAGCAUAACUACAGAAAAGAAGUUAGAAUGUGAAAUGCACAAAAUGUCCCUGAAUAGUGCAAAAAGCCAAAGAUGUUGUCAAAGUGGCAAAUCCUCCCAUGAUAAGACCAUAAGACAUAGGAACAGAAUUAGGCCAUUCAGCCCAUCAAGUCUGCUCCGCCAUUCCAACAUGUCAGAUCCCAGAUCCCACUCAACCCCAUACUCCUGCUUUCUCACCAUAUCCUUUGAUGCCCUGACCAAUCAGGAAAUGAUUAACUUCCACCUUAAAUAUAUGCAUGGACUUGGCCUCCACUGCAGUCUGUUACAGAGCAUUCCACAUCUCUGGCUAAAAAAAAUCCUACUUACCUCUGUUCUAAAGGGCCGCCCCUCAAUUUUGAAGCUGUGCCCCUUAGUCCUGGAUACCCCCACCAUAGAAAACAUCCUCUCCAUAUACACCCUAUCUAAUUCUUUCAACAUUUGGUAGGUUUCAAUGAGAUCCCCCUGCAUUCUUCUAACUUUCAGUGAAUGCAGGUCCGAUGCUCCUCAUAUGGAGUUGGAUACUGGGUCAACUUGUCCAUAAUUCCAGAGGCUGACUCAGCAGAACUACAGUCUGCUUUCUAAUAUAACAUUAGAGAAGGCCCCUGUGAUGCAAAAGACUUACACAGGUGAAAAAGUGUCUCCCAAAGGCAAACUGAAAGUAAGUAUGAUGUAUAGAGGCUAAACACAAUAGUUAGAAUUUUAUGUAUUGAAAAUUGGAGGGCCAGUGCCUUUCAGAAGUGAAUGGUUGAGAAAAAUCCAACUAGACUGGCACUCAAUCAAAGCUAUCAGUGUGACAUCAGCCCAAAUAGUAGCACUAAUCAGAGGCUGGAAGGUUGCUUAAUGCUAAUGAGAAGGUGCUUGAGAACAGGAUUGGUAAACUCAAAGGCAGGAAGGCCAGAAAUGAACUGGAUGAAACAGCAACACCAAGAUUCCAUAAAGCACAUCUAGUGCCUUAAGCACUACACCCUAAAGUGAUGCUGAACUGCAGAGCUGGGAGGCAUCUGAAAUUGUCUCCAAAGUCGGGUGGAGUGAUUGGGCCAUGCCCAUUGUCCCGGUGAUCAAGAAAGGAAAGGCCGGCACCAUUCGCAUACGUGGUGAUUUCAAAGUGAGCAUCAAACCAGUGCUGUGUACUAUGCAGUAUACCCUGCCAUUUUUGCACCUUUGGCAGGCCAGGAGAGGCUUUCAGAGAUUCACUUGUCACAAACCUGUCUGCAAAUGGAGAUUGAGGAGUCAACCACAAAGUUCCUCACAAUCAACACUCUCAAGGGACUGUUCCAGUAUAAUCGCCUCGUCUUUGGUGUCACAUCAGCUCCAGCAACUUGGCAAUAAGCAAUGGACAAAUUGCUCCUAGAUAACCCAGGAACACAAUGUUACCUUGAUGACAUCAUCGUGACAGGCAAAAAUAAUGAAGAAGGCCUCCAGAACCUUGGUAAAGAGCUUACCAGGUUGAGUGAGUAUGGUCUAUGUGCAAAGAGAGAGAAAUAUGAGUUUUUCAAGAAUGAAAUCUCAUAUUGUGGCCAAAUCAUUGGCAAGCAUGGGUUACAUAAGUCACUACAGGCACCCAACUGGAAAAUGUAUCACAACUCAGGUCAUACUUGGGCCUGGUAAACUACUACCACCGGUUUCUCCCAAACAUUGCUACGGUGCUGCAUCCAUUGAAUGCCCUGUUACAGACAGGGUCAAAGUGGGAAUAGUCAGAAAGAUGUGGGGAAAAAAGCAUUCAAUGAAACAAAGAGGCUAAUAACAUCUGAUAAACUGCUCACCCAUUAUGACACAUCCCUGCCCUUUAGACUAGCAUGCAUUGUGUCCCCUUAUGGCAUUAGAGCCGUUUGGUCACACAUUAUGAAGGAUGGAUCUGAACAGCCAGUUGUGUUUGCUUCAAGAUCACUGACAAGCGCAGAAUGCAAUUACGCACAGAUCGACCGAGAGGCCCUUAGUCUAGUAUAGGGAGUAAACAAGUUCCACCACUACCUCAGUCAAAAUAACCCCACAGGCACCAUUACCCCUGUGGGAGUGCUGUCAUCACCAUGACAAAGAGUACAUAUUGACUUUGCUGGGCCACUCUUAGACUCCAUGUUUCUGAUUGCUGUGGAUGCUCAUUCGAAGUGGCUGGAGGUUACACCGAUGAAGUCAACCACCUCAGCAAAGGCUGUCUUUGCUCUGAGGACUAUCUUCGCCAGAAACAGCUUACCAGAACAAACUGUGAGUGACAACGGACCACAAUACAUGUCAGAAGAAGUCUGACUGUUCAUGAAGAAAAGUGGCAUCAGACAUUUCAAGUUAGCUCCUGCACUUUUCUAUAAUAUAUUCCAUCUGCCACUUCUAUGCCAGUUCCCCACAUCUGUUUAAGUUCUUCUACAGAAACCCUGCUUCCUCAAAACUGCCUGGCUCUCCACCUAUCUUCAUAUAUCCACAAUCUUAGCCACAAAGUCAUCAACUCCUUCAUCCAGAUCAUUGAACUACAAUGUGAAAAGAAGCGGUCCCAACACCGACCCCUGUGGCACACCAAUAGUCACGGGAACCAACCAGAAUAGGCCCCCUUUACUCUUUGCCUCCUGCCAGCCAGCCAAUGUUCCAUCCAUGCUAGUACCUUUCCUGUAUUACCAUGGGCUCUGAUUUCGUUAAGCAGCCUCAUGUGUGGCCUCUUUUCAAAGGCCUUCUGAAAAUCCAAAUAAACAACAUCCACUGACUCCCCUUUGUCCAUCCUGCCUGUUAAUUCCUCAAAGAAUUUCAAGAAAAUUUGUUAGACAAGAUUUCCCCUUUAGAUAAGAAUGCUGACUUUGGCCUAUUUUGUCAUGUGCCUCCAAGCACCCAGAAAUUUCAUCCUUAAUAAUGACUCCCUACAUCUUUCCAACCACUGCGCUCAGUUUCUUAUGUCUCCCUCUCUUCUUAAAGAAUGGAGUGACAUUUGCAACUUUCCAGUCCUCAGGAUCCAUUCCAGAAUCUCGUGAUUCUUAAAAGAUCAUUACUAAUGCUUCCAUAAUCUCUUCUUAGUAAUAACAACGACAUUCACUUCCAUCCCCCGACACCUUUGCAUUUUGGCAUUCUUUAGUGUAUCCCACAGUUGAAGACUGAUUGAAAAUACUUAGUAAAUUCAUCCGCCAUCUCUUUGUCUGCAUUACCACCUCUCCAGCAUAAUUUUCCAGUGGGCCAAUAUCCACUAUGCAGAGCAUGUCUGCAUGCAUUGAGCUGCUGCCACAUGAUCGACUGAUUAGAUUUUUGCAUUAACAAGCAAUUACACAGGUGUGCCUCAUGAAGGGGCCACUGAGUGCAUAUGUUGCUAAUUUAUUCUCAUAUUCUGCCUUUUCCCCUGUUAUCAAUUGUUUAGACAUUGAGACAACUAGAGACAAACUUAGAACCAUAGAAACAGACCCUUAUUGUCCAUAGCAUCCAUGCCAACCACGAAACCUGUUUAUGUGAAUCCCAUUUGCUUAGUUUAAGCCUAUGUCUUUCUACACUUUUCUUAUCUAUGUACCAGUCUGAAUGUCUUACAUCUGCCUCUACAAUCUCUUCAGGCAGCUUACUCUAGUAAACCUCAACUUUCUGUGUGAAAAACCUAUCCCUCAGGUCUCUUUUAAAUGUCUCCACUCUCACCUCCAACCUGUGGCCUUUGGUUUUGGACUCCCCUGACCUGGGCAAAAGAGUCUAACUACCUUUCCUGUCUAUGCCCUUCACCAUCCUAUAAAGCUCUGUAAGGCCACACCUCAAACUCAUACAUUGCUGCCUAUCCUGCCUCUCCUUAUAAUUACAGAUCUCCAUUCGAGGCAACGCCCUGGUGUUUGCACACCAAGGAAAUGGGGAAGCGGCUUUGAUGGAUUGGUUACCUUUCUCCUUCUUUUGGUUCAUGUAUCUAACUAUUCUAAUGUUACACAUUCAUCUUUUAUAUGUGCUGAGUUCUCACUGGAGAAAUUUGAGGAGCAUUGGUUUGAGGAAGUACUGUAGUGUCAGAGGUGCUGUUUCCUAGAUGCAAUUAUGUCACCAUCUACCCACUUUAGUGGGUCAUAGCACUGUUCAAAGUAUAAUAGAGGGGUUAUUGACUCAUUCCUAGCCAUUAAUACUUCCUUGUCUAGCACCAAUAGAGGUAGGCUUAGAAUCCGAAUCAUUAUCAAAAUCAUGUUUAUUAUCAUUGUCUUUCAGGAUGUGAAAUUUGUUGUUUUGAGGUGGCAGUUGAGUGCAGAGACAUAAAAUUAAAUCAAGUCAAGUCAAGUCACUUUUUAUUGUCAUUUCGACCAUAAGUGCUAGUACAGUACACAGUAAAAACGAGAUGUUUUUCAGGACCAUGGUGCUACAUGAAACAGUACAAAAACUACACUGAACUACGUGAAAACAACACAGAAAAAGAAACUACACUAGACUACAGACCUACCCAGGACUGCAUAAAGUGCACAAAACAGUGCAGGCAUUACAUUAAAUAAUAGACAAGACAAUAGGCACGGUAGAGGGCAGUAGGUUGGUGUCAGUCCAGUCUCUGGGUCUUGAGGAGUCUGAUAGAUUGGGGGAAAGAAACUGUUACAUAGUCUGGUCGUGAGAGCCCGAAUGCUCCGGUGCCUUUCCCCAGAUGGCAGGAGGAAGAAGAGUUUGUAUGAGGGGUGUAUGGGGUCCUUCAUAAUGCUGUUUGCCUUGCGGAUGCAGCGUGUGGUGUAAAAGUAGAUAGAUAGAUACGAUUGUCUGGCAUGCUGUGCACAGAUUGGCCACAAUGUUUCCUACAUUACUACAGUGACUUUACUUCAAAAACAUUUAUUUCGCUGUGACGGGUGAUGGGGUGCGCUGAGGUUGGCGACGGGUGCUGUACAAGAUCUGAUGGGGUGGAAGAAGCUGGAGCAGGGAAAUUCAGGACUGAGAAACCUCUCCACCGCACAUCAUUUAAAAUUCAACACAGACUGUACAUUUCAGACCACCGAAAGGCAAUCUCAUGGAUUUACUCAAGAAUCCUGGCCUGGUGACAUUGUCAGGACCAUGACUGAAGUUUGUCGGCAAGUUCAAGGAGCAGGCCAUGUAAUAUUUGCAACAGCAGACCCAAGGUGAGAGGCUAGGGUAAGUGCUAAAGAUGGGACUUCCUUUACGCUUCCCUUUAGAACUGAGACAGUCUACAUAAGGAAUCUUUUGCUCUCCUGUUUGGUCAGACUUGGCCUUGAUUUUCCCUCUCUCUUGUUCUUCUGUCUCCUUCUCCAUAUCCAUCUCCCCUGCCCGGGGUCUUCUGCCAUAAAUAGCGGAGAUUGGUUUACUUCCAUUUGCUUUUCACUUUCCCCUCCUUGGGCAACCACGGAACUUGACCACGUAGGAGGCAGGAGUCCGCAGCAGUUUUAACAGCCCAUCCCCUUCCAAGCUAGCUUCUGGAUCAAAGUCUGAGAUCAAGUGUUGUACUGGUGUCUAUAUACUACAGGCUUUAUUCUCUCUCCUUUAUCAGAGUGCUUUGUGCUGUACCACAGCUCUGCCCAACCUAACUUGAGGACUCUUGGCUGCCCACAGGGCAAUUAAAGUGCAAUUGCUUCACUUCUUAGGUCAAUUUGCCCCCACAUUCUUGCUUCUGAAUCAUAAGUCUGUGGAUUUCAGUCUCAUUCCGGAACAGCAGCACAUAAUGAGAGGUUGCAUUGUACAGCGUACUGGUUUAGAUGUUAAGCUGUAGUUCUGAUUGCCUGUUCAGUGAAAAUAUAAAACCCCAUAAAUUACUCUAAAUGGAGUCCUUGUAUCUCAGUCAAUGUUCCACCCUCAACCGACACCACAACUAUCAGUUUAAACCAUCAUUGACCUCACCUGCUGUUUGCAGGUUUUCGUCUGCAUAUGAAGUGCCAAUGAGUGUGAUUUAACUCCAAGAGAUAAUUAAUUAAAUGUGAAAUGCUGUUCACUGUCCCAAGACUGAUACCGUUAUGUAAAUACUUUGUUACCAAUGAAGUAAAGAUUUUUUUUCCUGAACUUUUGUGAGGCCAUAUCAAUUUUGAGUGAAGAUUUAUGGAAUCACUUUAACAUUGUCAAUAUUUAGAAAAUUACUUUGAUUUACUGAGGAAUACAUCAAAUUUCUGUCAGAAUCUGCUUCAUCUAACUACUUCCUCAAAAAAGACCCUGUGCUUUUCACAAAUCAUCUUUGCAAAAUCAUCUUUCAUAAUCAAUUCCCUCCUUCCGGCCAAAAUAGGGCCUGUGCGAAACAUUACCAUGGUCGACAUAUUCUGUAUAGACCAAGAAACCAUAUAUUUCACUUCUUUUAUGUCUUAUGCAUUUGUUUUUUUUUGUCUUGAAUGUGAUUCUGGAAUUGUUGUAGCCUGUGAUCUGCAGUUUGGAGGUGGUUUUGCUGCUUCAGCACUCAGCAGUCUCCAAGAGGAUUCCAAGAAACAGAGGCAGGGUGUGUGAACCUCUUGGUGAGAAGGCUGCAGGACAGGGUGUGAGCUGAUUUUCGACUCCAUUUCUUUGAUUAAAGCUUCCAUUGUUCACCGAUUAAAGCAAUGAGGGAGAUUGAAACGUGGAAGGAGAGUGCCAGCUGCCUCCCAUUUGAUUAUUAAGGGAUUGGACACACUAGAGGCAGGAAACAUGUUCCCGAUGUUGGGGGAAUCCAGAACCAGAGGCCACAGUCUAAUAAUAAGGGGUAGGCCAUUUAGAAUGGAGUUCAGGAAAAACUAUUUCACCCAGAGAGUUAUGGAUCUAUGGAAUGCUCUGCCUCAGAAGGCAGUGGAGGCCAAUUCUCUGGAUGCUUUCAAGAAAGAGUUAGACAGAGCUCUUAAAGAUAGUGGAGUCAAGGGAUAUGAGGAGAAGGCAGGAACGCGAUACUGAUUGUGGAUAAUCAGCCAUGAUCACAUUGAAUGCUGGUGCUGGCACGAAGGGCCGAAUGACCUACUCCUGCACCUAUUGUCUAUUGUCUAUUAUCACUGGUGGGAUCACAUGGCUACCAGAGAGGGAAGACUGCCUUUUGAUUGCUGGUGGGAUCACUCGGCUACCGGAGAGGGGAGACUGCCCAUUGGUCAUUGGUGGAAUCACUCUGCUGUUGGAGAGGGGAGAGCCUGCUGCUGUGCCUGGAGAAUGUUACCCAGGUUUUCUGUGUUUUGGAUGUGGACUUGGACUAUGGACUUUUUUUCAGUCUUAUAGUUUUUUAUGGUCUAUGUUUUUCACCUGAUCUUUCUCGUUUAAUUGUGUGUGCGGGGGAGGCAGAUUCAGGGGUCGAUGUGCCUGUUCUGUUUUUGUUUGUAGUUUUUGUGCGGAAAGCGGGGAUUUGGAGGUUGAGGAUCGUGAUGCCGUUCUUCUCUUUGUUUCAUGGCUACCUGGAGGUUCAAGUAACACACAUGAUUCUAGAGAAACUCAAUGAACAAGGAGCAAACUAUGAAGGAAGCUUGAGAGGUGAAGUUUUGGGUCAAGGACUUUCAUCUGGAUUAAGCUAGAUGAAGUGCCUCAGCCUGAAACACUGACUGUCCAUCACCCCCAACAGAUGCUGCCUGACCUGCUGAGUUCCUCCAGCAUCUUGCAUGUCCUUCCAGAUUCCAGCAUCUGCAGUCUUUGGUGUCUCUAACCUCUUUUCUAAGACCAUAAGAUCGCAGGACACAGGAGCAGCAUUAGGUCAAUCAACCCAUCAAAUCUAUCUAACAUUCGAUCAGUGCUGAUUUAUUUUACCUCUCAACAUCAAUCUCCUACCUUCUCUCCGUAACCUUUGACAUCCUGACUAAUCAAGGACCUAUCAAACACCGCUUUAAGUAUACCCAAUAUCUUGGCCUACAUAGCCAACUGUAGUAAUGAACUCCACUGAGUCACCAUACUCUGGCUAAAAUUUCCUCCUCAUCUCUGUUCUAAAGGGACAUCUUUGUAUUUUGAGGUUGUGCCUUCUGGUCCUAGACUGUCUCACUGCUGGGAACAUAUUCUCCACAUCCAGUCUAUCUAGGGUGUUCAAUAUUCAAUAGGUUUCAAUGCGAGACCCCUUUCAUUUUUCUAAAGUAUAGUGAGUACAGGCCCAGAGCCGUCAAAAUCUGCUCAGAACCAAAAACUUUAAUUCUUAAAAUCAUUAUCUGGACACUCUCUAAUGCCAGUACAUCCUUUAUUAGAUAUAAGGCCAGAAACUGCUCACAAUACUCCAUAUGUGGUCUGAUAAAAGUCUUACAAAGUCUCAGCGUUCCAUUCUUGCUUUUAUCUUCCAGUAUUCUUGAAAUGAACGUUAACGAAGCAAUUGUCUUCCUUACUAUCGCCUCAACCUUCAAGUUAACCUUCAGGGAAUUCUACACUAGGACAUCCAAGUCUCAUUGCACCUCUGAUUUCUGAAUUCACUUCUCAUUUAUAAGAUAGUCUUUGCCUUUUCCUUAUACAUCAGUGUAAUAUCAUGUACUUCCAUUUCUCACUCCUUUCUCCAUUCUCCUGAUCUGUCCAAGUUCUUCUGCAGACUUUCUGCUUUAGUCCUAUCUGCCCCUAUACCGAUCUUUAUAUCUGCAAACUACCAAAACCAUUAAUUCUCCUAGGUAGAAUAUUAACAUAUAACGUGAAAAGAUGUGGACCCACCAGCAACCCCUGCAGAACACCACUCACCACCAGCAGCCAGCCAAAAAAUGCCUCUUUUAUUUCCACUCUUUGCCUCCUGCCAGUCAAUCUAUAUUCUGGCCAUGUUAAUAUCUUUCCUGUAAUACCAUCGUUUGUUUAUCUUGUUUUGCAGGUUCACGUGCACACCUUAUCAAAGGCCUUCUGAGAAACCAAGUAAAUAAUAUCCAUUGACUCUCCUUUGUUUGUCCUGUCUGUUAUUUCCUUAAAGAAUUCCACCAGAUUUGUCAGGCAAGGUUUCCCCUUAAGGAAACCAUGCUGACUUUGGUCCGUUUCUUCAUGUACAUCCAAAUAACCCAAAGCCUCAUCCUUAAAAAUGGCUUCUAACAUCUUGCCAAUCAGUGAGGUCAGGCUAACUAGCCUAUAAUUUCCUUUUGUCAUUAAUUGUCUUUUGCCUCCCACCCUCUUUAAGAGUGGAGUGUUAUUUGUGAUUUUCUAGUCCUCCAGAAUCUAGUCAUUCUUGAAAAAUCACUACUAUUACCUCCACAAUCUCCUCAGUUAGCUCCUUCUGAAGAGUGAGGUGCAAUCCAUCUGGGCCAGCUAACUUAUCUACCUUCAGACCUUUCAGCUUCCAAAGCACUAGUUCACAUUCUGAAGGUAAUAAUUUGUACUUACAUUCUAAAGGUAAUAGUUUGUGUUUUGGAUAAUGGUUCACGUGUCUGCCUCAAUGAAGAAUGUUGUUUGUGGAUUGUACUGCAUUGGGUAUCACAUUUCCAAAAAAAAAUGUUAUCUCUGACGAAUUUCUCCCCCUUGUGAUUUAAAAGUUAUAUCAAUGGGAUGCUCAUAAAAUUGAAGAUGCAACACCAUUCCUGCAGAGCACUGACCAAUCCAUUCUAAAUUAGCAAGAGUCUGUUGAGGACAUCUCUCAUCCCUACCAAAAUGGGGCUGCAGCGCGUUAAAAUGAGGAUGGUCACACCUUCACUGAUCCCAUUGCUUUCCUGACAUAUUCUUAAGUUAAUCUUGCUCUUUCAAAGAGGCUUGCAGAACACUCACGAUAAGGAACCCAUGUCUUUGAUCAAAUUGGCAGACUAGUUCAAUGAUGCAAUAAGAAAUUUUGGUUGAGAGGCCCAUUUGUGAUCGCACUCUCAAACCAGCUCUCACAGGAAAUGGAUGGUUAUGUGGAAAGGGUCCUGACAAGCAAGGAUUUAAACUUAAUCUUAAUGUUCCUUGUAAACGAGAGACAGUGGAAAUAUCUGGGGUUCCUCCUCCUCCAAACUCACUCAAAAUGAGAGGUGAUUUUAAAUAUAUUUAGAUCCCAAGGUGCUUGACACAGAAUUAGAAUCGGGUUUAAUAUUAUCAGCAUAUGUCAUGAAAUUUGUUGUCUUUGUGGCAGCAGUACAAUGCAAUGCAUAAUAAUAGAAAAAAAUACUUGAAUUACAGUAUGUGUGUGUGUGUGUGUGUGUGUGUGUGGUAGCGUUCAUGGGUUCAAUGUCCAUUCAGAAACUGGAUAGCAGAGGGGAAGAAGUGUGUGCCUUCAGGCUUGCUGAUGAGCAAUGAGAACAAGGCAUGACCUGUGUGAUGGGGGUCUUUAAUAAAGGAUGCCAUGCUUUGAGGAGCCGCUCCUUGAAGAUGUCCUGGAUAACUACAGAGACUGGUGCCCAUGAUGGAGCUGACUAAGCUUACAGCUCUCUGCAGCUUAUUUUGAACCUGCGCACCACGCCCCCCCCACCAAACGUAGAUGGUGAUGUAGCCAGUUAGAAUGCUCUCCAUGGUACAUCUCUAGAAAUUUGUGAGUGUCUUUGGAGGCAUACCAAUUUCCUCAAACUCCUAAUGAAAUAUAGCCACUGUUGUGCCUUCCUUCUAGCUGCUUUGAUAUGUUGGAUCCAGGAUAGAUAGAUCAUCUGAGAUUUUGAGACUCAGGAACUUGAAGUUUCUCACUCUUCCCAUGUCUGAUCAUUUUAUGAAGACUGGUGUGUGUUCCCUGAUCCUACCCUUUCUGAAGUCCACAAUCAGUUCUUUGAUCUUACUGACGUUGCUGCAACACCACUCAACUGGCUGAUAUAUCUCACUUUUCAGACAUGACCAUGCAUAUAGAUGAGGGUAGUGCAGUGGAUGUGAUCUGCAUGGAUUUUAAUAAGGCAUUUGACAAGGUUCCACAAGGUAGACUUAUUCAGAAAGUCAGAAGGCAUGGGAUCCAGGGAAUUUUGGCCAGGUGGAUUCAGAAUUGGCUUGCCUGCAGAAGGCAGAGGGUCAUGGUGGAGGGAGUACAUUCAGAUUGGAGGGUUGUGACUAGUGGUGUCCCACAAGGAUUGGUUCUGGGACCUCUACUUUUAGUGAUUUUUAUUAAUGACCUGGAUGUGGGGGUAGAAGGGUGGGUUGGCAAGUUUGCAGAUGACACAAAGGUUGGUGGUGUUGUGGAUAGUGUUGAGGAUUGUUGAAGAUUGCAGAGAGACAUUGAUAGGAUGCAGAAGUGGGCUGAGAAGUGGCAGAUGGAGUUCAACCCAGAGAAGUGUGAGGUGGUACACUUUGGAAGGACUAACUCCAAGGCAGAGUACAAAGUAAAUGGCAGGAUACUUGGGAGUGUGGAGGAGCAGAGGCUUCUGGGGGUACAUGUCCACAGAUCCCUGAAAGUUGCCUCACAGGUAGAUAGGGUCAUUAAGAAAGCUUAUGGAGUGUUAGCUUUCAUAAGUCGAUGGAUAGAGUUUAAGAGUCACGGGGUAAUGAUGCAGCUCUAUUACACUCUGGUUAGACCACGCUUGGAGUACUGUGUCCAGUUCUGGUCACCUCACUAUAGGAAGGAUGUGGAAGCAUUGGAAAAGGUACAGAGGAGAUUUAUCAGGAUGCUACCUGGUUUAGAGAGUAUGCAUUAUGAUCAGAGAUUAAAGGAUCUAGGGCUUUACUCUUUGGAGAGAAGGAGGAUGAGAGGAGACAUGAUAGAGAUAUACAAGAUAUUAAGAGGAAUAGAUAGAGUGGACAGCCAGCUCCUCUUCCCCAGGGCAUCACUGCUCAAUACAAGAGGACAUGGCUUUAAGGUAAGGGGAGAAAAGUUCAAGGGGGAUACUAGAGUAAGGUUUUUUACUCAGAGAGUGAUUGGUGCUUGGAAUGCACUGCCUGAGUCAGUGGAGGAGGCAGAUACACUAGUGAAAUUUAAGAGACUACUAGACAGGUAUAUGGAAGAAUUUAAGGAGGAGGGUUAUAUGGGAGGCAGGGUUUAAGUGUUGGCACAACAUUGUGGGCCGAAUGGCCUGUACUGUGUUGUACUGUUCUUUGUUCAUUGUUCUUUGUUCUUUAGCACACCCUCUCCAUUUGAAAUUCUGCCAACAAUAAUUGUAUCAUCAGCAAAUUUAUUUUGAGCUGUGCCUAGCCACACAGUCAUGGUUCUGGAGACAACAGAGUAGUGGGCUAAUCACACAUCCCCGAGGAGCAGUAGAUACUGUGAAUAUGUUUCCUAUGGUAAGAAAGUCCUGUGUUAGAGCAGCUUAAGUUACAGAAAUUUGUCUUCCAGAAUUUGCAACUCACUACCAAAAACUGCAAAACUAAAUAAAAAUAAGCUCAUAUGAAUUUUAAUGAGGAAAAGUAAAUAAAUAAACAUAUUUUAUUUCAACGCACAUUUCUUGACACAUUCACAAAUAACAGAAAAUCACAAUAUGGACCACUUUCGGGGAGCACAGCCUGCCAUAAUGCGGGAACAACCUUUAUCUAUGAUUAGGGAGUUUAGUCUCAUGAUACAUUUAAGACUGGAAUGAAGGAAAAUGUCUUCUCUCAAAGGUCCUAUGUCUUUGGAACUCUCUACCCCUAUAAAGCUGUGUCGUUAAGUAGAUAAUAGAUUAUUGGACUACAUGGGGGAAUCAAACAUUUUGGGAAUGAAAUAGGAAAGUAGAAUUUGGCUAAUGGUUAAACAUUCAUCAUGAGUGAUGAGUAGGCAUGAAGAACUUAUUGCCUCAUCUCCUUAUAUCCUGCUACUCACUGAAAUGAUUUCCAAGCAGAAUUGCACACUGGCAUUACAGUGGGGUGGGGGACGUUCUGUGGGCAGCAAUCACCAGCAUCUUCCGAUGUGAGCCAUUGAACCUCUUGGAUCAUUUAGCACCAAACUUGCUUUUGCAUGACAGGACACAUGAAUAGGAAGGUGCGCUGGGAAAGGGAAAUGCAUGCAUUGCAAGAUUAUCUGGGAAAGUGUAGCAGCAGCCCACUAGAUUGUUUGGAAAGCAAACUCCUUCAUUACACUCCAGUAAAAGAAAAAGGUCAUGAAUCCCAUAUAAUGAAACGUUAGGUAUUCCUUCAGUAAAGAAAAAUAUCAGACACUGAAUCACCAUAAGGGGAGCAGGUUAUUUUUAUCUAAUCUGUGGAGGAGAAAACAUGUAUUAUGCAAUAUACUUGGAGGAAAGAGGAAUUUAUAUUUUUCUCAGCCAACAUGCAUAUUACAGCACCAAGAAAAAUAAUAGAAACCCCAUAUUAGACUUCUGGAGAAAAAGGAUUGUGAAACCUUUUCUUUUAUUCUUCCAUGGAAAUGAUUUGCAUGAUACUAACUUCACUUUUUUUUUAAGUGAAGUGUACCUACCUUAAUUCACUUGCUCAGGUAGUUUCAGAAGAACUGAAGACAGUACUGGCAUUUUGCAUGUUUGGCUCAUGUAACUAAUCAGGGAGAAAAAGGGAUCAUCAAAAGGUGUGGAAUACCUCAACCAUUAUAUCAGUACUUUGCAGUGUCUUGCUCAGUCUGUGCUAAGUUGAUUUAGGUUUGAAUUUAGAUCAUUCUGCUUUGCUAAUUGAAUAAUGUUGUAACUUGUCUUCCCAUUUAGCUAGCCUGCUGCCACUGUCAUAGCUCCUACUCAAAUCACUUAAAUUAUUGUGGUAAUCACAAUGAAUGUAAGUAAUGAAAACAAUGCAAGUCUGUAACACCCUUCCAGAAGUCUUAAGACAACUUAAGCUCUAAAACCCAGGUUGAGCUUGCAGUGCAAUAUUAAGCGUGUGCUACAGGGCAAUAAUACCAUUUUCAGAAUAUUAAAAAUGUCAUUAAACCAAAGUCCCAUCUACCCUCUUAGAUAAAUUCAAGUAAUCUCAGGGCAAUGUUAGGGAAGUCAUCAUUUAAUCCUCAAGCAAUAUCAUGAUUAAUUGAUCAUUAUCAUUUUGUGUUAAUUUAAGAUUAUCAUGCAUAUGUAUUCCAACAAUGUUUCAGGGCAUUUUGUGAAUGGUGCUACAUAAUUCUUAUUGUUUCAACUCCUGUCAAAUCUUUGUUGGCCUCUAAUUUGAAGAAGACAUUUUGCAUGUAUUUGUCCAACAAGUUGUUGUACAUUUUGUUGCCUUUAGAAGUAAUAUGCCAUGCGUCCCCAAUCUUAAUGUUUCCUCCUUCAGCACCAACUUACCCCUGUUUGGAAAGAGAGGCAGAGCUCCAACAUACACAAAAUGCUGGAGGAACUCAACAGGCCAGGCAGCACCUAUGGAAAAGAAGAAGCAGUCAACGUUUUGGGUUGAGAUCCACCAUGUCAGACCUCCGCCUGGUCUAUAUAUAUUUUAUUGGAGCGGAGGGCAAACAAAUGGGCAUCGGCAUUAUUUUGCAGACAGGCAGGUACUUUCAUUAAGCGGUGUAGUGAAAUGGCAGUAAGUCCUCCAGCUCCCUAAAACAUUGGUGGUGACGUGGCCAAGCCAAACACAGAGAGUCAUGGAACGCUGUAUGACACCGAUGCCAAUUUCCCAGUGCAACAAAAUUUCAUCAUAAAUGAGGAAGUCUUUAGGGUAGACAAUGGAAUUUAAGUGGAUGAUAAUGAGGAGGAAGUGAAUGUACUUCAUUUCUAUUCAGUACUGCACGGUAUUAAGUAUCAGCAGUACACAGCAAUUCCCAUUGAGGGUGGGUUUCUAGAAACCAUAAAACAAGGCGCAUGUACUGCAGUCAUUGUAUGGUGGCCUGAUCACCAACUAUAGGAAGGAGAUCAUUCAGCUAGAAACGAUCCAAUUAAGGUCCACAAGAGUGAUCUCUAGACUGCAGGGUUUGAGUUAUAAGCGGAGACUAAGUAAGAUUUUUUCCCCCAGAGCAUAGGGGGUUGAGGUGUGUCCCAUCAAGGAAGAAAUACUGAGGUUUUAUAAAGACAUUGGCCAGACCACACGGAGCAUUGUGAGGAGAUUUGGGCCCUAUAUCUAAGAAAGAAUGUGCUGGCACUGGUGAGAGUCCAGAGGAAGUUCAUGGGAAUUACCCUAGAAAUGAAAGGGUUAAUAUAUGAGGAGCAUUUAAUGGUCUGGGCCUCGACUCACUGGAGGUAAAAAAAAAAAUGAGGGAGUUGUGAAUGACAAUGCAGAGUAAAUGUUUCCUCCAGAUGAAUGCCAGAAAGAUGGAUACCAUAACUUUUGGAUCACUCGUUGAACUCCCUUCCUUGCAUCUCUGGUUGAAUUCUCUCUCCCUGCUGAAUCAAAUGCUGCAAAAUGACAGUCGCUUGUAAAGGUGAGUUUCACAUUCCACAUGAGAACAUCGAACAGUACGACAGAGGAACAGGCCCUUCAAGCCAUCUUGUCAUGCUGAACUAAUUAAACCAGCAAUUAAAUGACCAACUAAAUUACCCCUUCUGCUGACACAAGGUCCAUGAUCCUCCAUUCUCUACAGAUGUCAUGUGCCUAUCAAAGAGCCUCCACUACCAUCCCUGGCAGCACACCCACCACUCUCUGUCUAAUAAAGCUUCUUCUUUGAACUUACUCCCUUUUCCCUAAAUGCAUGCCCUCUACUAUUAAACAUUUCAUCCCUGUGAAAAGUCACUGGCUGCCUACUCCAUGUAAUCCACUAACACUCUUAUACAUUUCAAUCAGGUCUGUCCUCGGCCUCCACUACUCCAGAGAAAAUAAUCCUAAUUUGUCCAACCUCUCCCUAAAGCACACAAUAAUAUGGGCAGCAUACCAAUAAGCUUCCCUGUACUCUCUCCAAGGCCACUGCAUCCUUCCUACAAUGGGGUGACCAGAAUUGAAUGCAGUACUUCAGAUGUGGCCUAACCAGCGUUUUUAAAAUUACUCAAGCCUCUGUAACUGUGGCAAGAUACAUUUGACUCUUGAUCUCAGUAUCACGAGUAAUAACGACUAUGUCCUCACCUUCGCCACUUCUGUGUAUUAUUCACUUGUAUCCUUGAUACCGCAGAAACUUAAAUUAACACUGGAUAAUUCCUCAAUGGAUGGUUCCUUGUUCAACCAUACCCUUUCCAGUAUUUACUGUUAGGAGUGAUGCCUAAUGUAACAUUUGUCAUCUGACAUAUUUCAAGUUUCUGAGACCUUGUUACGCAGGGAGCUGGAAAUCUGAGCAAUAGGGAGAUUAUAGCUGGAAAUGUCCAUUUAAUAUUGCCCAAUAUAUUUUAAGGAGACAUGCAUGCUUUUGUCGUUGGAAUAAAGCUUAAACUCCAAUACUUCUCCAUUUCAGUUUAAGAUGGCACUGGUGAUGCCCGGCGACUACUUACUGGCAGCAAAGGCAAAGCAAAGAAAGCUACUAAAUACCUUAUUAAUAAUACUUUAUUGACAGCAAUCAACGCUAACAAUGGAGAGGAGUUUGUGGAGUGGUGCCCAAGGAAGGAUACUCGCAGAAUGCUGCUCGAAGGAGAGACCCAUUGUAAGAAGUGCUUUGUGCAGAAGAAUGAUUCCAGCAAGAAGUACCAAUACUCCUGAGUUUGCCAGUUCGUUCAAAAUGGUGUUCGAGGGAAUCUCGAACUGUGGCUGGUGUCUGUCAUGCAGAACACUGGUUCAGCGUGUGAGUAAUCAGAGCGAAGCACCCAAUUACUCCAGUAAUGAGCUCCAACAUGCAUGUGCACACUUAGACUGGUUUAACUGUACAGGGUCCUUCUCUCCCUUUUUGUUAAGGUCCAAAUAUCUGUAAAUACACUUUCACUUUAAUUUGAUGCUGGGGUAAGGUCUAUUAUUUAUGGGUGAAUGAUAAUUUUGUAUCUGGCAGCAUUUACACAGACUUCACCGCAAUUUUCUUUCCCUCAUUGGAACAUUCCAACUUCCCUGACUGGCUGAACCUGAAGCACACCAACCCUAGAAGUGUGUUGCUUACAGGAGGUGGCCUUCUCACCGUUACCCGUGCAAUACUGCGUCACGUGGCUGUCAGCCAGAGAUAGCUAAUGGGCCCAGUUUGUCACAAGCCACGGUGAGAGAGUGACACACAAAUGGUUGAAUGAUAACUAAACUUGAACUUGGAGCUUUGAGGAAAUGAUUCCAUGUGGCAACAACUGCAGGAAAAACGAGGGAAAGUAAAGAGGAGGAAAAAUAUAUGCCACCAUUACUCCAUUCCUACCCUCCCAAAU